ACCGAGACCGACCCCUCCUGUCCUGCCCACCCGGUCCGGAUCCAGCCCCAACCCACCACCCCACCAGCUCCACUUCCCUCCGGUUUCCGCCGCCCGCCGAAGCCGUCUCCGGCAAGGACCCGACCGGCGCCACCGCCUCUUCCCCGGCGGCCCGCCCGCGGCCAGGCGCUCCCUUUCCUCCCUCCCCGCGCUCUGGCCGUGGCCGGUCUGCUCCUCCUCUCUUCGUCCGGGGCCCCGGGCCGUGCCUCUCGCCUCGCCUCCUCGCGUCCGGUUUGGAUUUGCUCGUCCUCGAUUCGUCGCCCGUCCAGGUUCAGAACCGCGCCUGAUUUGGUUUUCGCUCGUGCUCGAUUCGCCCGUUUGGAAUUGCGCCUGGUUUGAUCUUGCUCGUCCUCGCCGUCGUCCGUUUGGGGUCGCGUCCGGUUCGAUUUUGCUCGUCGUCCUCUCGCCGCCGUCGUCCGUGUAGGGUCGCUUCUGGUUCGAUUUCGCUCGCCCUCGCCGUCGUCGUCCGUUUAGGGUCGCGUCCGAUUCGAUUUUGCUCGUCCUCGCGUCGUCGUCCGUGUAGGGUCGCUUUCCAUUCGAUUUCGCUCGUCCUCGGCGUUGUCCCGAUGCUCUCGCGUGUUCUUGGUCCGUCUCGUUUGAGAACUAGCAAUUCUGUCUGCGUGCGCUUCUGUUAUCCGAGAGGCACUCUGGUUCCUGGGUUUCGUGUUCGCGUCGGUUGCAGGAACGAACGGGUCUGGUUUCGAAAUUAGAUUACGGCCGGAGACGGGGUGCAGUGUUCGUUUAUCGUGCUAGUUCAGAUCAGUUCCUCCGUUCCGUCACCUACGUUGCUCUUGGUGAUUUUUCAGAGCUCAAACGUAUGCUCUCUUGUGAUACUCUGUCAGUUCUUGGCCCUCUGUCAGUUCUUGUUGGCCCUCUGUCAAUUCUUGAGUUCCAGGGUCUGUUAAUUCCUGACUUCUUGUCGUACCGGCUAGGCGUGUGUGCGCUCUCAUCCUAGAUUCAGAGAUGGGGUGAUUUUCCUUACGCUUGAUCUGAUGGUGUAUAUUGUUUAUGUUCUUUCCAGUUUGUUUCUUUUAAUCAUGCUUUGCUUGUGUGUUGAGCAGAAAAGUUUUACAAGAGUGCAAACCAUGUGGCCUGCUGCUUGACUAAUUGAACACCUGCUGUUGCUACUGUUGGACAAGGUCCCUUCUUUUCUUCCUGAUGCUGCUAUUUCCAUUUAACUACUCAUAGGAGUUCUAGAUGAGCUGCUGCGAGUUAGUUCCCCUUAGACUACAUUCUAGAUUGCAUAGCAUAACUCCAGAAUUUUGUGAUUGCACACCACCUUGGCAUAUAAUUCUGUUGUGAGCAUAACUCUAGAAUUUAUUUAUCCGCGAAAGCACGUUCAUCACAUGUUUUUUUAUCAAUGCUGCUAACUUCUGUCAUGCCCCUUUCCUUUUGGACAACAAUUUCAACGAACCUAUAACGUGGACAUGUCCUGCUUGUUUUCUUGUGAUGAUGGUGAUCCAAUUGAGUAGCUCAACUCUUAUGCUCUGACAUUUGUUAAUCCCCAGUUAGUGUGCAUGAAAAGUUAUUGUUUGUCAUGUUAAAUUUUAUGGCAUCAACUCGGUAUUGUGAUUAAUGACUUAGUAUUUGUUUAGUGUAGACAGUUGACUUCUUUUCUCUUAAUUAUUUAGUGAUAUGCGUGUUUUGUUAUGUCUUAUGGGGAUAACUAAUGUCCAGUCAAUGGAAAAUGCUUUUCUUGCUUUGCCUAGACUUUGUGACAACUAACUUAUAGUGCGAUCAUUGAUCAUUGAGCUUCUGACACCUUAUUCCGUAAAAUUCUGUUGUGAUGUUUCCUGGAUCAUUGAGUAGUUAAUAUUGAUUUUGAGUUUGUCGGAUCAUUAACUUCUGCGUGCGCUUCGGUUAUCUGAGAGACACUCACGAUCUUGUGUUUCGUAUUCGUGGCGGAGCGAUGAACGAUUACGUUUCGUGUCCCUGUGUUUCGUGUUCGCCCAUCUGACUUUGAAUUUGGAUUACGGAGACGGGGAGAGGCCAAAGCAAGGUCAGUUUAUCGUGUUCGCUCAGAUCGGUUCCUCGGUUCCGUCGCUGCGUUGUUCGUCGGCGAUUUCCAGACCUCAAAUGCAUGCGCUCUUGUGAUACUCUGGUUUGGCUCGCUGGUCGUUAUGGUUGUUCGUUACGGUUGUUCUUAUGUUCUUGAAUCACCCAUCUUAUAAGCAGAGAUGGGGUGAUACAUUAUGGUUGCUCUGAUGGUUGCUUAUUUAGUGUUCUUUCCAAUUGGGUUCUUCUUGUCAUGCUUUGCUUAUGUUCCCAAUGUCUGUCUUUCCAUAUAUGGGGAUGCGUUCAGGGGUGCAAACCGUGUAGGCCAUGGUGUGUUUUAUACUAGCUAUGGUGUGUUUUAUACUAUCUGAUGUGGAAGGUGGAAAUAUUGAUAUCACUUCUGUGCUAGUAUACUUGAUAUGGUGUGUUUUAUUUAAGUAAUUAACCACAUCUCUUACAAAUUUUCCUUGAGAUACAUGUUUAUAUGGCAGGAGUGAUUGUCUUGAUGAAUAAUCAUUUAUGCUAACUUGGUAUUGGUAGUCCCUGAUCAUAGGUAACAGACCAGUACUUGUUUAGUGCAGACAACUGACGGUUCUUUUUUUCUGAACUUUUUUGUGAUAUGUCUGUUAUGUGGAUAUCAUAUUCUAAUGCUUUUCUAAGUAUUUAAGGUACAGACAUGUGGAUCUGGACAUUUCACAUUUGCUCUUUAUUGUGUUGCUAAAGACACUGAACGGUUUGUCUGGCCACCGCACAGCCCAGCUAAUCAGGUUGUAGUGAUUAGGGAGAAGCUUGCAGAACUGUAUGAAUUUGAACAAAAAUGGUCGAGAGCAGCACAAAUGCUUAGUGGCAUUGACUUGGACUCAGGAAUCAGCCAGGAUGCUUGAUGACAAACAAAUUAUCCAAGUGCGUCCAGAUUGCACGACUCUAUUUGGAGGAUGAUGAUGCAGUGAAUGUUGAAGCUUUUAUCAACAAAGCCCAUUUUUGGUCACAAACAGCAACCAGGAAGUUCUGAACUUGCAAUACAAGGUAUGCUAUGCGAGAAUUUUAGAUCUAAAGCGUAAAUUCUUGGAAGCUGCACUUCGAUACUAUGGUAUCUGUCAAAUUGAGCAAUGCCAAAUUGGGGAUGAAUAGAUUGAUGAAAAUGCUCUUGAGCAAGCUCUUAGUGCUGCUGUAACAUGCACAAUAUUGUAACUGAUGAGAGGUAAACACUGUUGCCAACUUGAAAUCAGUUUACUCAUUCAAGUUCUGGAAUUUCUUUAUAGCUUUCUGAGUUUACUUCGGUCUUGCAUGUAUUAGGUUUCUCUUUGUGCCGCUACCUAUGUCUGUUUCUUGUGUGCAAGCGCUCCAUUCUGUGUGUGUGGCUCUGUGUGACUUGAUGGUGAAUAUGUGUGUGGCUUGACUCUGUGUGUUUGUGGCUGUGUGACUUGAUGGUGAAUAUGUGUGUGGCUUGACUCUGUGUGUUUGUGGCUUGAUUGUGUGUGUGGCUUGACUCUCUCUGUGUGUGGCUGAACUGUGUGUGGUUUGAUGGUGAAUAUGUGUGGCUUGACUCUGUGUGUGACUGUUUGUGGCUUGAUGGUGAAUAUGUGUCUGGCUUGACUUUGUGUGUGUGUGUGUGUGUGUGUGUGUGAGACUGUGUGUGAAAAUUGCAUUUGUUUGAUGGUGUGGCUUGUAUGCUUUGCUGAAUGUUUGGUUGUAUAAAUUGUGUUUUAUAUUUCACGAUUGAUUGCUUUGCUGUUUGUUGAAUGUGAACAGACCUAGCACUAUUAUUUUUUCUGAAUUUUUUUGUGAUUAUGUCUUAUGUGGAUAUCAUGUUCUUUUUUUUGUAUUACUGCUGUCCAGUCACUGGAAUAAUGCUUUUCUAAGUAUUUAAGGUACAGACAUUGGAUUUGGACAUGUCACAUUGGCUCUUUAUUGUGUUGCUAAGGGAUGGUUGGGUUUGCAUACAAUGCAGUAUGGAGCAACAAAUUGGUCUCAUUGCAAGGUCACUAUUGCAAGGUCACUACCUGGACGUAUAGGCAAGCAAUGUCAAGAGAGGUGGCAUAAUCAUCUGAAUCCAGACAUACAGAGAGAUGCUUGGACUACUGAGGAACAUGCACUAAAUAAUGCCCAUCGGAUAUAUGGGAAUAAAUGGGUAGAAAUAGCAAAAUUUCUUCCUAGAAGGUCAUCUUAUGGUACCGUGCAUCAGACUCAUAUGGUGCUUAUUACAUCACAGGUCAUCUUAAUCUUCUUUUGCUAUCCAUCGGCUUGUAACUCAUGAGAGGCGACCAUAGUUGCCAACUUGAAACAUAUUUUUUUUUUUAGGAACGAAGAUCUGAAUCACCCUCACUCCUCAAGAGAAAUCGUUUAGUCAUUCAGGUUCUGGAAUUUCUUUAUAGCUUUCUGAGUUUACUUCGGUCUUGCGUGUAUUUGCUUUCUGUUUGUGCCCUUAUCUAUGUCUGUUUCUUGUUGUUUCUUGUGUGCAAGUGCUCCAUUAUGUGUCUGUCUGACUGUUUGUGGCUUGACUCUCUUGUGUGUGUGGCUUGACUGUCUGUGUGUGGGACUGUUUGUUUGCCUGUGUGUGCGUGUGACUGUGUGCAAAUAUUGCAUUUGACUGUGAUGUGUGACUCUAUGUUUGACUGUGUGAAUAUUGUGCAUUUGAGCGUGAUGUGUGUGACUGUGAAUAUUGCAUUUUGGCAAUGACUGUGUGUGUGAUUGUGUGUGGCUUGACUCUGUGUGUGUGUGUGUGUGUGGCUUGUAUGCUUUGCUGAAUGAUUGGUUGGUAUGGCCUAACACUGCCU